AAAAGUGCUUUUGUUUGACCAAUGCAAUCUUUUCAACUUUCACUUGCUAACAAUAGCUGAUUGCUUUCAUCAAAAACUCAUGUCACAAUAACUAUGCACUAAAUUCUUAACCUGGUUGAUAGUUGCCUAUGAAGAGCUAUUGGAAGUGAAACAACCCUGCUGUGGAAUGUUUUUGUUUUUGCAUACUAUAAAGAGGAGCCAUCAAAGGAUCCUGCUACCCCAUCCUAGAAGGAGAAUGGACAAAUAUUAACAUUCUGACUACCAAUUGUCCAGUUGUCUCUUAAAGGAAUGUCUCUAAGAUUCUUCUAGAAAAGGGGAAAGCAGACACCAAAGAGGUGCACAUAUAAAAGCAUCUCCUUCAUCCUGAAUCUGAUAUUCAAAUGGCUGAUAAGAAGAAUGAUGAAGAGAGAAAUGUCAGCAUUCUCAUACACAGAAGAGAUUUAAUUUUAUUUAUAAGUAAAAAAGAUUAAAAUCUUAAAAAAAGAAAGUAUUGUAUUUCCCUGACCAUUUAAAGAAUCUAAACCUGACGUCAAAAUCAGCAGUCUUUCAUUGCCUCUGUUUUACCUAACUCACAGAUUCUCUACCCUAACCCUAAGAUGCUCCACUAGAAUUACCUGGGGACACUUUAAAAAAAUUUUUUUUCAACGUUUAUUUAUUUUUGGGACAGAGAGAGACAGAGCAUGAACAGGGGAGGGGCAGAGAGAGAGGGAGACACAGAAUCGGA